rnacentral:rRNA from 1 species
CACCGGCGGCUCGAGUGGUGGCCACUUUUAUUGCGUCUAAAGCGUCCGUAGCCGGCUUGGCAAGUCCCCUGGGAAAUCUGGCGGCUUAACCGUCAGGCGUCCAGAGGAUACUGCCAGGCUUGGGACCGGGAGAGGUGAGAGGUACCUCAGGGGUAGGGGUGAAAUCUUGUGAUCCCUGAGGGACCACCAGUGGCGAAGGCGUCUCACUAGAACGGGUCCGACGGUCAGGGACGAAAGCUGGGGGCACGAACCGG